rnacentral:rRNA from 1 species
GAUGAACGCUGGCGGCGUGCCUAAUACAUGCAAGUCGAGCGAACAGAUAAGGAGCUUGCUCCUUUGACGUUAGCGGCGGACGGGUGAGUAACACGUGGUUAACCUACCUAUAAGACUGGAAUAACUCCGGGAAACCGGGGCUAAUGCCGGAUAACAUUUAGAACCGCAUGGUUCUAAAGUGAAAGAUGGUUUUGCUAUCACUUAUAGAUGGACCCGCGCCGUAUUAGCUAGUUGGUAAGGUAACGGCUUACCAAGGCAACGAUACGUAGCCGACCUGAGAGGGUGAUCGGCCACACUGGAACUGAGACACGGUCCAGACUCCUACGGGAGGCAGCAGUAGGGAAUCUUCCGCAAUGGGCGAAAGCCUGACGGAGCAACGCCGCGUGAGUGAUGAAGGUCUUCGGAUCGUAAAACUCUGUUAUUAGGGAAGAACAAAUGUGUAAGUAACUGUGCACGUCUUGACGGUACCUAAUCAGAAAGCCACGGCUAACUACGUG